rnacentral:rRNA from 10 species
GCGGCCAUACAACCCUGAACACACCUGAUCUCAUCAGAUCUCGGAAGCUAAGCAGGGUCGGGGCUGGUUAGUACUUGGAUGGUAGACCGCCUGGGAAUACCAGGUGCUGUAAGUG